CCUACGGGAGGCAGCAGUAGGGAAUUUUCGGCAAUGGGGGGAACCCUGACCGAGCAACGCCGCGUGAACGAAGAAGUUAUUCGUAAUGUAAAGUUCUUUUAACAGGGAAGAAAGAGAAAUUUGACGGUACCUGAAGAAUAAGCUCCGGCUAACUACGUGCCAGCAGCCGCGGUAAUACGUAGGGAGCGAGCGUUAUCCGGAAUUAUUGGGCGUAAAGGGUGCGUAGAUGGCAUAGAAAGUCUUUGGUAAAAACGCUGGGCUCAACCCAGUAGGGCAAAAGAUACUGCAAGGCUAGAGUAUGACAGAGGCAAGUGGAACUACAGGUGUAGCGGUAAAAUGCGUAGAUAUAUGUAAGAACACCAGUGGCGAAGGCGGCUUGCUGGGUCGAUACUGACAUUGAGGCACGAAAGCGUGGGGAGCAAACAGGAUUAGAUACCCCUGUAGUC
rnacentral:rRNA from 1 species